GUAUUAGUUAUAUUCUUCAAACUUUAAGAAUUUGGCGGUGUUUUAGUCUGUUUAGAGGAACUUGCCCCGUAAUCGAUAAUCCUCGUUAUAUCUUUCUUAAUCUUGUUUUCAAUAUGUAUACCUCCGUUACAAGUUUAUUUUUAUAGAAUUGAUUUACUAUAUAGAUUAUUAUCUUAUAUUUC
rnacentral:rRNA from 1 species